CUACCUCUUAAGGUAGUUGUGGUUUUUUAUGCAGUGAUAGAAUUAAUCACCGUUAAUUCACUUUCUGUUAAUAUCUUCCGUUUAGACGUGUCACAGUAUCUUGUCGUCCAAAGCUUCUCUUCUCUUUUAUGAUAAUUAUUGAUCCCAAACCAUCUGUGAGAUAAUGCUGAGCUGUUUCACAUGUUCAGCAUAAUAUAUAUGCAUAAAAGUUGAGUUUCAUUAUUGCAUUUGAAUUUAAAAAACCAAAAAGACUUUGCACGUUUUGUUUAAUUAGACAUCAAAAACUUGCUACUAAUUAGAGCAGUGACAUAUACAGAGGUAGUAGUAGUUCUCACACAAGCAGUCCUAACAUGUUGAGGAACAACGAUAUGGAAGUUUUCACGAGGUCUUUUAGAGAAGAAGAAGACGAUGAAGAAGCUCUCAAAUGGGCUGCUUUAGAGAGACUGCCUACAUAUUCACGUAUGAGGAAAGGUAUGCUCACUAGUGCAGAGGGUCAAGCUAGAGAGAUUGACAUAAAGAGUCUUGGAAUAUUGGAGAGAAAAGCUUUGUUAGAUAGGCUGGUGAAAAUUGCAGAAGAAGAUAAUGAGAAGUUCCUGUUAAAGCUCAAGGACCGCAUUGAUCGAGUUGGACUUGAACUUCCAACAAUUGAAGUUCGGUUUGAGCACCUAAAUGUGGAGGCAGAAGUUUACAUUGGAAGCAGAGCGUUACCUACAAUAUUCAACUUCUUUGUCAACAUGUUAGAGGGAUUCUCAAAUUAUCUGCACAUUCUUCCAAGUAGAAAGAUAACUUUACCAAUCCUUCGAGAUGUUAGUGGCAUCAUCCAGCCUCAAAGAAUGACAUUGCUUUUAGGCCCCCCAAGCUCUGGAAAGACCACAUUACUAUUGGCUUUGGCUGGAAAACUCAGUAAAGAUUUAAAGUUUUCGGGAAGAGUUACGUACAAUGGACAUGGAAUGGAAGAGUUUGUUCCACAGAGAACAUCAGCCUAUAUAAGUCAACAUGAUCUUCACAUAGGAGAAAUGACAGUGAGAGAAACACUGGCUUUUGCAGCAAGAUGUCAAGGGGUUGGACAACGUUAUGAGAUAUUGGCAGAAUUGUUAAGAAGAGAGAAGGCAGCAAAUAUUAAGCCAGAUCCUGAUAUUGAUAUCUACAUGAAGGCAGCAGCACUUGAAGGACUGGAGACCAGUAUUGUUACCGAUUAUGUAAUAAAGAUUUUGGGGCUUGAAGUCUGCGCUGAUACUAUAGUGGGGGAUGAAAUGUUAAGAGGUAUUUCUGGUGGACAGAAAAAACGACUCACAACAGGGGAGAUGCUGGUUGGACCAGCAAGGGCAUUGUUCAUGGAUGAGAUAUCCACUGGCUUGGACAGCUCAACAACUUUUCAGAUUGUAAAUUCACUCAAGCAAUCCCUCCGUAUUCUCAAUGGAACUGCAGUCAUCUCUCUUCUCCAACCACCUCCAGAAACUUAUGAACUAUUCGAUGAUAUAAUUCUUCUCUCAGAUGGCCAAAUUGUGUAUCAAGGUCCCCGUGAAAAUGUGCUUGAGUUUUUUGAAUAUAUGGGUUUCAAAUGUCCCGAGAGGAAGGGAGUUGCCGACUUCUUACAAGAGGUGACAUCAAGGAAAGACCAAGAGCAGUACUGGGCAAAUAAAGAUGAGCCUUACAGGUUUGUUAAUGUGGACGAAUUUGCCAAAGCAUUUCACUCAUUUGACAUUGGUUGCAAACUUGGUGACAAGCUUGCUACUCCAUUUAACAAGUCCGAAGGCCACCCUGCUGUUUUAACCACUAAGAAGUAUGGUGUUAGCAAGAAAGAGUUAUUGAGAGCUUGUGUUAGUAGAGAAUUCUUGCUUAUGAGGAGGAACUCAUUUGUCUACAUCUUCAAAAUGAGCCAACUCACUCUCAUAGCUUUUAUAAUGAUGACCUUAUUUCUACGAACUGAGAUGCAUCGAGAUACAGUGACAGAUGGUGGUAUCUAUUUGGGUGCUCUCUUUUUUACGGCCCUUGUAGCUAUGUUUAAUGGAAUUUCAGAGCUCAAUAUGGCCAUCAUGAAACUUCCUGUCUUUUACAAGCAAAGAGAACUUUUCUUCUAUCCCUCGUGGGCUUACGCUAUACCCACGUGGAUCCUCAAGAUUCCAAUAAACCUUGUAGAAUCUGCCAUUUGGGUGGUGAUGACUUAUUAUGUUAUAGGCUUUGAUCCAGACAUUCGAAGGUUUUUCAAACAGUACUUUUUAAUCCUGUGCAUUAACCUGAUGGCAUCUGGACUUUUCCGAUUAAUGGCUGCAUUAGGAAGGGAUGUGAUUGUUGCUAGCACAGUUGGGUCAUUCGCUCUCCUUGUAGUGCAGGUUUUAGGAGGAUUCAUCAUAUCUCGAGAUAAUGUGCCGAAAUGGUGGUUGUGGGGUUAUUGGAUCUCCCCGCUGAUGUAUGGACAGAAUGCUAUAGCUGUGAAUGAAUUUCUAGGAAAGAGUUGGAGACAUGUGGCUCCCAAUUCCUCAGAACAAUUAGGAGUUUUGGUCUUGAAGUCUCGUGGGAUUUUUCCACAAGCGGAUUGGUAUUGGAUUGGAGUAGGAGCUUUGAUUGGAUAUAUUUUUCUGUUCAACUUCCUUUUCACUUUGGCUCUACAGUAUCUCAGUCCCUUUAGUAAGCCUCAGACAGUACUAUCCAAGGAGGCCUUGACUGAGAGAAAUGCUAAUAAAGCUGGAGAGUUCAUUGAGCUAUCAUCUAGAGGAAAGAGCUUCCCUGAACAAAGGGCUGAAGAUCAAAGAAGUGUAUCAUCCAGGUCAUUAUUUAUGAGAGUAGGCGGAAUUGAUGAAGCUUAUCAAAAUGGGAAGAGAGGAAUGGUUCUUCCUUUUGAACCCCUAUCACUUGCUUUCGAUGAAAUCAGAUAUGCUGUAGACAUGCCACAGGAAAUGAAAACUCAAGGUAUUCUUGAAGAUAGGCUUGAACUACUAAAGGGUAUAAGUGGAGCUUUCAGGCCAGGAGUCCUAACAGCUCUAAUGGGUGUUAGUGGUGCUGGUAAGACCACUCUAAUGGAUGUCUUGGCAGGAAGGAAAACUACCGGAUAUAUCCAGGGUAGCAUCACAAUAUCAGGCUACCCAAAGAAGCAAGAAACAUUUGCUCGCAUAGCUGGAUAUUGCGAACAAACUGAUAUCCAUUCUCCACACGUUACAGUCUAUGAAUCUUUAUUAUAUUCUGCGUGGCUUCGGUUAGCCCCUGAGGUUGAUUCUAUAACAAGAAGGAUGUUCAUCGAGGAAGUCAUUGAGCUUGUGGAACUGACCUCAUUAAGGGAGGCACUUGUUGGAUUGCCCAAUGUGAGUGGCCUCUCAACUGAGCAGCGCAAGAGGCUGACAAUUGCAGUUGAGCUUGUUGCUAACCCAUCUAUAAUAUUCAUGGAUGAGCCAACCUCUGGCCUUGAUGCCAGGGCAGCAGCAAUAGUAAUGAGGACAGUGAGGAACACUGUUGACACAGGACGAACAGUGGUUUGCACCAUACAUCAGCCAAGCAUUGAUAUUUUUGAUACCUUUGAUGAGCUACUUCUUUUGAAAGUGGGAGGGGAGCAAAUAUAUGCAGGUCCAUUAGGCGGCCGCUCAUCCCAUCUGAUUAAGUACUUUGAGGAAAUCAACGGAGUUCCUAAAAUUAGAGAUGGAUAUAAUCCUGCAACUUGGAUGUUGGAGGUUACUUCAAUAGCACAAGAAACAGCUCUCGGUGUUAAUUUCACUGAUGUGUACAAGAACUCAGAACUAUAUAGGAGAAACAAAGCAUUGAUCAGGGAACUAAGUACACCCCCACUGGGCUCCAAAGAUCUAUUCUUCCCUACUCGUUAUUCACAAUCUUUCUUCGACCAAUGCAUCGCUUGCCUGUGGAAACAGCAGUGCUCUUACUGGCGAAACCCAUCUUAUAAUGCUGUGAGACUUUUAUUCACAACAAUCAUAGCUUUGUUGUUUGGGAUGAUAUUUUGGGAUCUUGGUUCCAAAAGGACAAAGCAACAAGACCUGUUCAAUGCAUGGGUUCUAUGUACACUGCCGUUGUCUACAUUGGGGUACAAAAUGGCAUGUCAGUGCUGCCAGUGGUGGCUACUGAGAGAACGGUCUUUUACAGAGAAAGAGCGGCCGGAAUGUAUUCAGCCCUGCCAUAUGCCAUUGGACAGGUUGUUAUUGAGCUUCCAUACAUUUUUCUUCAAACUGUCAUUUAUGGGGUUAUAGUAUAUGCCAUGAUGGCAUUCGAAUGGACAGUUAUGAAGUUCUUAUGGUAUCUUUUCUUCAUGUACUUCACCUUAUUAUACUUUACAUUAUAUGGGAUGAUGACCGUGGCUCUUACUCCCAACCACCACAUUGGGAGCAUAGUUUCAUCUGCCUUCUAUGCAAUAUGGAACCUUUUCUCAGGAUUCGUUGUUCCCCAAACGAGAAUUCCAAUAUGGUGGAGAUGGUACUAUUGGGCUUGCCCUGUUGCUUGGACCUUGUAUGGAUUGUUUGCUUCACAAUAUGGAGAUGUCAAGGACUUUCUUGAGUCUGGUGAAACUGUAGAAGAUUUUGUAAGGAAUUACUUCGGCUUUAGAAAUGACUUUUUGGGCGUCGUUGCAGCUGUGAUUGUUGGGAUUCCAAUGCUCUUUGGAUUCAUAUUUGCCUUGUCUAUCAAGGCCUUUAACUUUCAAAAGAAAUGAAUAUGUUUUUGUUAAAAAAAAAAUAUAUUAAACAUCUGUUUGGGAUGAGCCGAAAAAUUCAACUUAUCUACACUUUUAGCCUAUUUUUAUUACUA